CCGGUAGGAGAGAAUGGAAUUCCUGGUGUAGCGGUGGAAUGCGCAGAUAUCAGGAGGAACACCGAUGGCGAAGGCAGUUCUCUGGGCCGUAACUGACGCUGAGGAGCGAAAGCGUGGGGAGCGAACAGGAUUAGAUACCCUGGUAGUCCACGCCGUAAACGUUGGGCGCUAGAUGUGGGGACCAUUCCACGGUUUCCGUGUCGCAGCUAACGCAUUAAGCGCCCCGCCUGGGGAGUACGGCCGCAAGGCUAAAACUCAAAGGAAUUGACGGGGGCCCGCACAAGCGGCGGAGCAUGCGGAUUAAUUCGAUGCAACGCGAAGAACCUUACCAAGGCUUGACAUAUACGAGAACGGGCCAGAAAUGGUCAACUCUUUGGACCUCGUAACAAGUGG
rnacentral:rRNA from 1 species